CUACGGGACGCACCAGUCGAGAAUAUUGGUCAAUGGGCGAAAGCCUGAACCAGCGACGCCGCGUGCUCGAAUAAGCCCUUCGGGGUGUAAAGAGCUUUUCUAGGGGAUGAACCUUCGGGUGACAGUACCUUAGGAAUAAGAGGGUGCAAAUCACGUGCCAGCAGCCGCGGUAUACGUGACCCUCAAGCGUUAUCCGGAUUUAUUGGGCGUAAAGAGUCUGUAGGUGGUUUAGAAAGUCUUUUGUUAAAUACCCAGAGCUUAACUUUGGGGGUGCCUAAGAUACUUCUAAACUAGAGGGCGUUAGAGGCUGAUGGAACAGUCGGUGUAGGGGUGAAAUCCGUUGAUAUCGACUGGAACACUAAAAGCGAAGGCAUUCAGCUGGGGCGACCCUGACACUGAGAGACGAAAGCGUGGGUAGCAAAAAGGAUUAGAUACCCCUGUAGUC
rnacentral:rRNA from 1 species